CCUACGGGUGGCAGCAGUGAGGAAUAUUGGUCAAUGGACGAGAGUCUGAACCAGCCAAGUAGCGUGAAGGAUGACUGCCCUAUGGGUUGUAAACUUCUUUUAUAUGGGAAUAAAAUGUUCCACGUGUGGGUUUUUGUAUGUACCAUAUGAAUAAGGAUCGGCUAACUCCGUGCCAGCAGCCGCGGUAAUCCGGAGGAUCCGAGCGUUAUCCGGAUUUAUUGGGUUUAAAUGGAGCGUAGGUGGAUUGUUAAGUAAGUUGUGAAAGUUUGCGGCUCAACCGUAAAAUUGCAGUUGAAACUGGCAGUCUUGAGUACAGUAGAGGUAGGCGGAAUUCGUGGUGUAGCGGUGAAAUGCUUAGAUAUCACGAAGAACUCCGAUUGCGAAGGCAGCUCACUGGACUGCAACUGACACUGAGGCUCGAAAGUGUGGGUAUCAAACAGGAUUAGAUACCCCAGUAGUC
rnacentral:rRNA from 1 species